rnacentral:rRNA from 1 species
GUCUACAGCCAUACCACCCUGAACACGCCUGAUCUCAGAAGCUAAGCACGGUUGGGCCUGGUUAGUACUUGGAUGGGAGUAUGGGUUUGGCUUGAGGACU